AUUACUACAGCAUUCCUAGAAACAUAUAUUGGCAGUGUAAUUUAAGCAACUAAAACGAAAUCAUGCUAUGUGUCAUACCCCUAAAGUCAUUCAUGGCAUACUUAACAUUGUUACUGGAUACAAUAGCUUGAAAACAUUGCUGAAAACCUCGUAAACGACUUACAUAUCACAUUCAAAAACUUACAACUCGAUAUUCAAGUAUUAUAAAGGACUAUAUUCACGGUGUUACAUGCUUGAUACAUAACAAUAACAUCCAAGCUCUUUUGUUGUCAAACUAUCAUACAUCAAACACGUUUAAAUGGUGCAGCAGGUUCAAGUUGUUCCCAUUGCUGAAAAAAUAUACACUACGAGUCUUAAUGGAUUACCUGUAUAGUAUAAAAAUAAAUAGUAGUGAAGUGGGCAGAAACAACAGCAGAAAUAGCAGAAAAACAACAACAACAACCAGCAGCAGAUCAAUGUUAGAAACAUCCCAAAAAAAUCUCGCGAAGCCACUUAAAACUAGUAGCUAACUCAAAACUUAGCCAAACGAUUGCUCUAUUUUUUCUUAAUGAUUUUGCACUAUAUGAGUUAUUCCAAAACUCACAAACUUCAUCUUACUAAAGUAUUCAGCUGCUGAUUUUUGUUCAAAGAUGUGUGUUCCAGCAACUCUCAAGGUGUCUUUUAGUGUGAAGAAUGACCUCCUUAAGUAGGAAAUAUAAGUCCUUUUGGACAGGUUUUGAUUUACCAAAAAUCUGUCCAAAAAGACUAAGUUUUGUGUGCCAAAACAUUCAACGUUUCACCAAAUUCUAACACAAAGCAAAGCAGUUGCAUUUCCAUCAUGUUUAAACAGUAAAAUACCUAACAAACACGUACUUUAAACUCAAGUUUUCAGCUUUUAUCUAUAUAUGACUGAAAUUCAGUUUAUACAGUCAAACUCCAACAAAUUAUGAACUAGCAAAGUAGAAAUAAUACUCAAAAUGCAAUCGAACUAAGUAUUCAAACAAACUAGAUUAGAAUGAAUUCGAAUUGUGCAAAUUAACAUGGAACAACAACUGAAUUUUACAAGCUAUUGCUUAAAACAGAAAUUAAACGAACAUUGCUAAACUAUAACGAUUAAUAACAACUAAAUAUACGACUAUAUAAACAAUUGAACAAGUCUUUUAGUUUUUCAUGAAGAUAACAUAAAGACUUAACUAUUUGACCGACUAGGUCAUAAAACUUAAAAUCUAGACUUAACAACUCUAUACAAAAUAGUCGACCGACUAGGUCGAAUAACCAAAAAUCAGAGGAGAAAUAAAAAAUAGUCAAUCGGCUAGGUCGAAGGACUGAAAGUUCAAGCUUAACAAAUCCACACAAAAUAAUCGACCGGCUAGGUCAAAGAACCAAAAAUCAGAACUAACAGACAAUAACAAACUACUCAACCGGCUAGGUCGAAGAACUGAAAUUCACAUUCAUAAAGUAAAAUAUAAUUAAAAACUAAUACUCAUUGCACAUAAAAACAGAAAUAUUAAUGAAACUUAAACCUUAAAACUAAUACUAAAACAAAAGCAAAAAAUAAGAAAAGAUUAAAAUAGGAAAAUGAAAUUGAUGUUUUACCAUACAGAGGGAUUCAAUGCCAAAUCGAGCAACGAUACGGAUACCGGGGACCCAGAGUAGUGAUUGUCCGAUCGUAGAGCGUUCUUAGGUCUGAACUAGGCUAAAGAAAAUAAGAGCAGUUGUGGGGUGAAAGUGUGAGGCAGUGUUGGUCGUAGCCGUCAGUUGGCAGUGGGGGAGUCAACAGUGGUGGGGGAUGGAUUUUGGGGGAUAAAUCUAGAUGGUAAGUGUAUAUAUCCUUGAGAUAUGCACGUUCAUGUAUAAUAUGUAUGAUUUAAGGGGUUGUGUGGUCAUAUUUGUUACUAGUUCGCAGAAGAAAAGAGGAAAAUUUGGGCUGCUAAGGUUUCGAAUUUGGCUAGAUUUGUGGCGAUUGAGAAGGAUUCGAGGGAUUUGGGGCUUGGAUUAGGAUAGAGGAGGAAGAGGAGAGGAGAUGGUAAAAUUUUAGGGUGGAUUGGAGGUUGGCCGCCGCUGGUGGUGAAUUCCGGACGGUGGCGUUAUGCGGCCGUGGUGAGAGGGCCUGGGAGAGAGGCGAGAGGGGAAGAAGAGUGGAAUUAAAGGGAAAAUAAUGUAAUUGGGGGAUUUUAAGCUUUAUAUACCUGGGUGGGGAUAGAUAAGGACGAUUGGA
rnacentral:lncRNA from 1 species